UAGGGAAUCUUCGGCAAUGGACGAAAGUCUGACCGAGCAACGCCGCGUGAGUGAAGAAGGUUUUCGGAUCGUAAAACUCUGUUGUUAGAGAAGAACAAGGACGUUAGUAACUGAACGUCCCCUGACGGUAUCUAACCAGAAAGCCACGGCUAACUACGUGCCAGCAGCCGCGGUAAUACGUAGGUGGCAAGCGUUGUCCGGAUUUAUUGGGCGUAAAGCGAGCGCAGGCGGUUUCUUAAGUCUGAUGUGAAAGCCCCCGGCUCAACCGGGGAGGGUCAUUGGAAACUGGGAGACUUGAGUGCAGAAGAGGGGAGUGGAAUUCCAUGUGUAGCGGUGAAAUGCGUAGAUAUAUGGAGGAACACCAGUGGCGAAGGCGGCACUCUGGUCUGUAGCUGACGCUGAGGCUCGAAAGCGUGGGGAGCAAACAGG
rnacentral:rRNA from 1 species